AGUCAGAAUCCGGGCCAGAAGCGACGCGUGUCCGCCGCUCGUUUGCCGACCAGCAGUAGGGCCCUCCGGCCCCCAAAGGCACGUGUCGUGGCUAAGCCCUCGCGGCGGACGAGCCGCGCGGGCCGCCUUGAAUUACAAUUUCCACCGGGCGGCGGACUGAAUCCUUUGCAGACGACUUAAAUACGCGACGGGGUAUUGUAAGUGGCAGAGUGGCCUUGCUGCCACGAUCCACUGAGAUUCAGCCCUUCGUCGCUCCGAUUCGU
rfam:Ricinus communis cultivar Hale ctg_1100012322333, whole genome shotgun sequence.